rnacentral:rRNA from 1 species
CCUACGGGGUGCAGCAGUGAGGAAUAUUGGUCAAUGGACGAGAGUCUGAACCAGCCAAGUAGCGUGAAGGAUGACUGUCCUAUGGGUUGUAAACUUCUUUUAUAUGGGAAUAAAAUGUUCCACGUGUGGGAUUUUGUAUGUACCAUAUGAAUAAGGAUCGGCUAACUCCGUGCCAGCAGCCGCGGUAAUACGGAGGAUCCGAGCGUUAUCCGGAUUUAUUGGGUUUAAAGGGAGCGUCGGUGGAUUGUUAAGUCAGUUGUGAAAGUUUGCGGCUCAACCGUAAAAUUGCAGUUGAAACUGGCAGUCUUGAGUACAGUAGAGGUGGGCGGAAUUCGUGGUGUAGCGGUGAAAUGCUUAGAUAUCACGAAGAACUCCGAUUGCGAAGGCAGUUCACUGGACUGCAACUGACACUGAGGCUCGAAAGUGUGGGUAUCAAACAGGAUUAGAUACCCCUGUAGUC